UACGUAGGGGGGCAAGCGUUGUCCGGAUUUAUUGGGCGUAAAGAGCUCGUAGGCGGCUCAGUAAGUCAGGUGUGAAAACUCCAGGCUCAACCUGGAGACGCCACCUGAUACUGCUGUGGCUAGAGUCCGGUAGGGGAGCAUGGAAUUCCUGGUGUAGCGGUGAAAUGCGCAGAUAUCAGGAGGAACACCAGUGGCGAAGGCGGUGCUCUGGGGCCGGAACUGACGCUGAGGAGCGAAAGCGUGGGGAGCAAACAGG
rnacentral:rRNA from 1 species